rnacentral:rRNA from 1 species
AUUGAACGCUGGCGGAAUGCUUUACACAUGCAAGUCGAACGGCAGCACGGACUUCGGUCUGGUGGCGAGUGGCGAACGGGUGAGUAAUGUAUCGGAACGUGCCCAGUCGUGGGGGAUAACGUAGUGAAAAUUACGCUAAUACCGCAUACGAUCUAUGGAGGAAAGCGGGGGAUGGCAAGACCUCGCGCGAUGGGAGCGGCCGAUAUCAGAUUAGGUAGUUGGUGGGGUAAAGGCCCACCAAGCCAACGAUCUGUAGCUGGUCUGAGAGGACGACCAGCCACACUGGAACUGAGACACGGUCCAGACUCCUACGGGAGGCAGCAGUGGGGAAUUUUGGACAAUGGGCGAAAGCCUGAUCCAGCCAUUCCGCGUGCAGGAUGAAGGCCCUCGGGUUGUAAACUGCUUUUGUACAGAACGAAAAGGUUUCUACUAAUACUAGGAGCUCAUGACGGUACUGUAAGAAUAAGCACCGGCUAACUACGUGCCAGCCGCCGCGGUAA